rnacentral:rRNA from 1 species
GGGGGGAACCCUGAUCCAGCCAUGCCGCGUGUGUGAAGAAGGCCUUUUGGUUGUAAAGCACUUUAAGUGGGGAGGAGGCUUACCUGGUUAAUACCUGGGCUAAGUGGACGUUACCCACAGAAUAAGCACCGGCUAACUCUGUGCCAGCAGCCGCGGUAAUACAGAGGGUGCGAGCGUUAAUCGGAUUUACUGGGCGUAAAGCGCGCGUAGGUGGUUAAUUAAGUCAAAUGUGAAAUCCCCGAGCUUAACUUGGGAAUUGCAUUCGAUACUGGUUAGCUGGAGUAUGGGAGAGGAUGGUAGAAUUCCAGGUGUAGCGGUGAAAUGCGUAGAGAUCUGGAGGAAUACCGAUGGCGAAGGCAGCCAUCUGGCCUAAUACUGACACUGAGGUGCGAAAGCAUGGGGAGCAAACAGGAUUAGAUACCCUGGUAGUCCAUGCCGUAAACGAUGUCUACAAGCCGUUGGGGGAUUUGAUCCUUUAGUGGCGCAGCUAACGCGAUAAGUAGACCGCCUGGGGAG